GUGCCAGCCGCCGCGGUAAUACGGAGGAUGCAAGCGUUAUCCGGAAUGAUUGGGCGUAAAGCGUCCGCAGGUGGUUAUACAAGUCUGCUGUCAAAGCGCAAGGCUCAACCUUGUAAAGGCAGUGGAAACUGUGUGACUAGAGAGUGAUAGGGGCAGAGGGAAUUCCCAGUGUAGCGGUGAAAUGCGUAGAGAUUGGGAAGAACACCGGUGGCGAAAGCGCUCUGCUGGGUCAUAUCUGACACUGAGGGACGAAAGCUAGGGGAGCGAAAGGGAUUAGAAACCCCCGUAGUCC
rnacentral:rRNA from 1 species